rnacentral:rRNA from 1 species
UGAACGCUAGCGGCAGGCUUAAUACAUGCAAGUCGAACGGUAAGGUCUCGCUUGCGAGAUACACGAGUGGCGCACGGGUGCGUAACACGUAUGCAAUCUACCUCUAACAGGGGGAUAGCCCCGAGAAAUCGGGAUUAAUACCCCAUAAUAUUUGAUUUAGGCAUCUAAAACAAAUUAAAGCUCCGGCGGUUAGAGAUGAGCAUGCGGCCCAUUAGCUUGUUGGUAAGGUAACGGCUUACCAAGGCAACGAUGGGUAGCUGGUCUGAGAGGAUGAUCAGCCACACUGGCACUGAGAUACGGGCCAGACUCCUACGGGAGGCAGCAGUAGGGAAUAUUGGGCAAUGGGCGAAAGCCUGACCCAGCCAUGCCGCGUGCAGGAUGACGGCCCUAUGGGUUGUAAACUGCUUUUAUUAGGGAAGAAACCUUGGAAUUUAUUUCGAAUUGACGGUACCUAAUGAAUAAGCACCGGCUAACUCC